GAACUCUUUUCUGGUCUGUUUGUUAGUCUUUAGUAUGUAUUUGCUUGUUUUGUUAGUCUAAUCUUUUUGUGUGCUCAUCUUUACAUGUUCUUUGUCCAGUCAGAUAACAUCUUGUCCCAUUUUUUAUUUAUUCUUACUUGUGAUUUAUGGCAUUGUUUUAUUUAAAGAGCCAACUGUUGAAAAGAAACCAGUUCCAGAAGUACCAAAGCCAACUGUGGCUCCAGUAGAACAGAAAAUAGUAUCUCCUCCAAAAGAGCCAAGUGUUGAAAAGAAACCAGUUCCUGAAGUACCAAAGCCAACUGUGACUCCAGUAGAACAGAAAAUAAUAUCUCCUCCAAAAGAGCCAACUGUUGAAAAGACACCAUCUCCUGUGGCACCAGAGCCAA